CAAGGGCUUGUAAAAGCAUUCCAGACUGCUAUGCAGGACAAGAAAGACUCCCACCAGCCUAUGGGCAACAUUCCCAUCAUCAUAUUCCUGAGGGAAGAGAACAGGCUUAUUGAAUCUUUGAACAAACCUGUAGGGAAACGUCUGUAUAAUAGAAAUAAUAAGUAGUCCCACAACUGCAGCUAUGGGGACUGAUGGAAAAUUGGAGUUUUUGAUAAGUGAUCCCUUGAUUAAGAGGGAGGGUACUCUUUAUCAAGGACACCAUAGAUGACCACAUCUGCUGCUGGUCUUUCUACAGCCAGAACCAUUAUCUAGGAAAGGUGUGGUGUACCUCCAUUAUGUAUGCCACAGAGAAGUACCAGACUACAAUGUAAUUUUCAGGAUCUCUAAUAUAUAAAAAACUCAAUGUCCUACUUUAUAUGACCCCUCAGGACCAUGAAAACUUCAUUUUGAAGACCAUGGUUCAGAGUCAAACCUGGCUUUCA
rnacentral:lncRNA from 1 species